GGAAGUAAAAAGUCGUAACAAGGUUUCCGUAGGUGAACCUGCGGAAGGAUCAUUCAUAAUAAGUGUUUUAUGGCACUUUUUAAAUCCAUAUCCACCUUGUGUGCAAUGUCAGUCGUUCUCUUCUAUGGGAACGACCAAACAUCAACCAACUCUUUAACUCUUUGUCUGAAAAAUAUUACGAAUAAAAUAAUUCAAAAUACAACUUUCAACAACGGAUCUCUUGGCUCUC
rnacentral:misc_RNA from 1 species